rnacentral:rRNA from 1 species
GACGAACGCUGGCGGCGUGCUUAACACAUGCAAGUCGAACGGAAAGGCCCUGCUUUUGUGGGGUGCUCGAGUGGCGAACGGGUGAGUAACACGUGAGUAACCUGCCCUUGACUUUGGGAUAACUUCAGGUAACUGGGGCUAAUACCGGAUAGGAGCUCCUGCUGCAUGGUGGGGGUUGGAAAGUUUCGGCGGUUGGGGAUGGACUCGCGGCUUAUCAGCUUGUUGGUGGGGUAGUGGCUUACCAAGGCUUUGACGGGUAGCCGGCCUGAGAGGGGGGCCGGCCACAAUGGGACUGAGAGACGGCCCAGACUCCUACGGGAGGCAACGGGGGGGAAUAUUGCACAAUGGGCGGAAGCCUGAGGCGGCAACGCCGCGUGCGGGAUGACGGCCUUCGGGUUGUAAACCGCUUUCGCCUGUGACGAAGCGUGAGUGACGGUAAUGGGUAAAGAAGCACCGGCUAACUACGUG